rnacentral:rRNA from 1 species
GACGAACGCUGGCGGCGUGCCUAAUACAUGCAAGUCGAACGCAGUGGGGACGGGUGAGGAACACGUGGGUAACCUCCCAUCAGAGGGGAUAACACUUGGAAACAGGUGCUAAACCGAUCGCGAGUGGAGGACCCGCGGUGCAUUAGCCAGUUGGUGGGGUAACGGUUCACCAGGGCCACGAUGCAUAGCCGACCUGAGAGGGUGAGCGGCCACACUGGGACUGAGACACGGCCCAGACUCCUACGGGAGGCAGCAGUAGGGAAUCUUCGGCAAUGGACGAAAGUCUGACCGAGCAACGCCGCGUGAGUGAAGAAGGUUUUCGGAUCGUAAAACUCUGUUGUUAGAGAAGCGGUAUCUAACCAGAAAGCCACGGCUAACUACGUGCCAGCAGCCGCGGUAAUUC